rnacentral:misc_RNA from 1 species
CGCACAUUGCGCCCUUCGGUAUUCCGUUGGGCAUGCCUGUUCGAGCGUCAUUUAACCCUUCAAGCUCUGCUUGGUGUUGGGCGUCUUGUUCCGCCUCCGCGCGUGGACUCGCCUUAAAUUCAUUGGCAGCCGGUAAGUUGGCUUCGUGCGCAGCACAUUGCGUUUACGAAUCUAGUUUGCCUCCUUCCAGUAAAGCCCCUUUUAUUACUUUGACCUCGGAUCAGGUAGGGAUACCCGCUGAACUUAA